AUUGAACGCUGGCGGCAUGCCUUACACAUGCAAGUCGAACGGCAGCAUGGAAGAGCUUGCUCUUCUGAUGGCGAGUGGCGAACGGGUGAGUAAAGCAUCGGAACGUACCGUGUAGUGGGGAUAACGUAGCGAAAGUUACGCUAAUACCGCAUACGCACUGAGGUGGAAAAGCAGGGGAUCGCAAGACCUUGCGCUAUACGAGCGGCCGAUGUCAGAUUAGCUAGUUGGUAGGGUAAAGGCCUACCAAGGCGACGAUCUGUAGCGGGUCUGAGAGGAUGAUCCGCCACACUGGGACUGAGACACGGCCCAGACUCCUACGGGAGGCAGCAGUGGGGAAUUUUGGACAAUGGGCGAAAGCCUGAUCCAGCCAUGCCGCGUGAGUGAAGAAGGCCUCGGUUG
rnacentral:rRNA from 1 species